GUGAACGCUGGCGGUAGGCCUAACACAUGCAAGUCGAACGGCAGCACAGUAAGAGCUUGCUCUUACGGGUGGCGAGUGGCGGACGGGUGAGGAAUACAUCGGAAUCUACUUUUUCGUGGGGGAUAACGUAGGGAAACUUACGCUAAUACCGCAUACGACCUACGGGUGAAAGCAGGGGAUCUUCGGACCUUGCGCGAUUGAAUGAGCCGAUGUCGGAUUAGCUAGUUGGCGGGGUAAAGGCCCACCAAGGCGACGUUCCGUAGCUGGUCUGAGAGGAUGAUCAGCCACACUGGAACUGAGACACGGUCCAGACUCCUACGGGAGGCAGCAGUGGGGAAUAUUGGACAAUGGGCGCAAGCCUGAUCCAGCCAUACCGCGUGGGUGAAGAAGGCCUUCGGGUUGUAAAGCCCUUUUGUUGGGAAAGAAAAGCAGCAGGUUAAUACCCCGCUGUUCUGACGGUACCCAAAGAAUAAGCACCGGCUAACUUCGUG
rnacentral:rRNA from 1 species